UACGUAGGGCGCAAGCGUUGUCCGGAAUUAUUGGGCGUAAAGAGCUCGUAGGCGGCUUGUCACGUCGGUUGUGAAAGCCCGGGGCUUAACCCCGGGUCUGCAGUCGAUACGGGCUAGCUAGAGUGUGGUAGGGGAGAUCGGAAUUCCUGGUGUAGCGGUGAAAUGCGCAGAUAUCAGGAGGAACACCGGUGGCGAAGGCGGAUCUCUGGGCCAUUACUGACGCUGAGGAGCGAAAGCGUGGGGAGCGAACAGG
rnacentral:rRNA from 2 species